GACGAACGCUGGCGGCGUGCUUAACACAUGCAAGUCGUACGGUAAGGCCCUUUCGGGGGUCCACGAGUGGCGAACGGGUGAGUAACACGUGAGUAACCUGCCCACAACUUUGGGAUAACGCUAGGAAACUGGUGCUAAUACUGGAUAUGUGCCCCUGCUGCAUGGUGGGGGUUGGAAAGCUCCGGCGGUUGUGGAUGGACUCGCGGCCUAUCAGCUUGUUGGUGGGGUAGUGGCCUACCAAGGCGGCGACGGGUAGCCGGCCUGAGAGGGUGACCGGCCACAUUGGGACUGAGAUACGGCCCAGACUCCUACGGGAGGCAGCAGUGGGGAAUAUUGCACAAUGGGCGCAAGCCUGAUGCAGCAACGCCGCGGGCGGGAGGACGGCCUUCGGGUUGUAAACCGCUUUCAGCAGGGACGAAGCUUUUUGUGACGGUACCUGCAGAAGAAGCACCGGCUAACUACGUG
rnacentral:rRNA from 1 species